rnacentral:tRNA from 1 species
GGUGGCUCAGUGGUGGAGUGCUUGCCUUGCAUGCAAGAAGCCCUGGGUUCGAUUCCUUAGCACCA